rnacentral:rRNA from 1 species
UGGGGAAUAUUGGACAAUGGGCGCAAGCCUGAUCCAGCCAUGCCGCGUGAGUGAUGAAGGCCUUAGGGUUGUAAAGCUCUUUCGCCGACGAAGAUAAUGACGGUAGUCGGAGAAGAAGCCCCGGCUAACUUCGUGCCAGCAGCCGCGGUAAUACGAAGGGGGCUAGCGUUGUUCGGAAUCACUGGGCGUAAAGCGCACGUAGGCGGAUUGUUAAGUCAGGGGUGAAAGCCUGGAGCUCAACUCCAGAACUGCCCUUGAUACUGGCAAUCUCGAGUCCGGAAGAGGUAAGUGGAACUGCGAGUGUAGAGGUGAAAUUCGUAGAUAUUCGCAAGAACACCAGUGGCGAAGGCGGCUUACUGGUCCGGUACUGACGCUGAGGUGCGAAAGCGUGGGGAGCAAAACAGGAUUAGAUACCCUGGUAGUCCACGCCGUAAAACGAUGGAGGCUAGCCGUUGGCGAGCAUGCUCGUCAGUGGCGCAGCUAACGCAUUAAGCCUCCGCCUGGGGAGUACGGUCGCAAGAUUAAAAACUCAAAGGAAUUGACGGGGUCCUAGCU